GCCCUCUGAUGAAGAAAACCUUUAGAAAGAGACAGAGGAUAAUCACCCGCUUUCUUUGGGCUUUGUGAAGACAUGAUACCUAGUUGGAAUGGCCGUACUUUGCUGUUCAGAUACUCAUCACACGUAUUUGAAUUCAGCAAGAUGGCAACUUCCAUCUAUGUGGAAUGCAGUGGAAUAAUAACAACGUG
rnacentral:lncRNA from 1 species